AAUGAGCUUGAGCCGGUUUUUGACUGGUUUUGCUGAUAACCAAGGAAUGUAGGCUUAGCAGUAAAUGCCAUUAGUGUCGUAGACUGGGCAAGGAUUGCCAGAAGAAGAUCAGUUUAAUAAGUUUAGCCGGAUAUCUGUUUUCUUAGCUUAUCUUUUGGGAUUUUAACAGGUUUUGUAAGUGGGGAUGUUGCGCCAUAUUAAUCCCAAUUUAUUUUAAAAAUAAAU